AAAAACUCUCUCCAAGUGUAACUCUCCAUUGAUAAAUUCCCCUCAUUUCCUCAUUUCCCUCUCCUGCCAGCACCCGGUUAACUCUCUAAUAAAAAUUGACCAGAUUUAAAAAACUCCAUUUAGUGGUUCCUGCGUAAAGAGAUGGUAUUUUGGUCACUUUAAUUUGCAUGAGAUGUUAUCUGAAAUCGACCACUAAUUCUUCCUUCUCACAGCCCCCCAUCCCAUUCCUCUCUUUACAAACCGCGUAACUACAUACUAUCCAGGACAAUAUAAAAGUGACCUCAAUACUCCUAUUGCAAUCAAUGAAAUAUGGUGAACAGUACAGGUUUGUCUUUCAUUGCUCCCUGCCUUGAAAGGUGUGGGUAGAGGAAGAAAAAUCUCCCUUACAAACUAUUUCUCCAGUUACAAGUCUUUGUCCAGAAGCAAAAGAAGGUUUUAACGUUACAGUACUUAUUCUAAUAGAAUUUUAAUUGCCCUAAUCCUGCUAAAGUGUGAAGCUGAGUGUGUGUGUGUGUGUGUGUGUGUCUGUGCAUGUAUUCCUAAUAGGGAGGGGAGUCAUGCAAAAAAAAAAAAUCUUUGUUACAUUUUUCAUGGGUGGGGCAGGGGGUGUCACAUAUGUUAAAUGAUGCAAACUUAAUUAAACUGAUUCUGGGGAAGGACAGGCCAUUGGCGUUCCAUCUAUGAAAUGUGUACUCCACUUUCGGUGGGAACAGAGUGGUCUUCUGUGUGCUUUGGGAAUUUCUAUUUUUGAAAGUGAAGUGCUUGGUUCCAGUUGCAAACAUGCCCUAAACCCUACUUGUCAUGACUGAGCUAGACAUGCUGGCAAAUUAUAUAGAUUGAUCCUACACAAUAACCUCCAAAAUGGCACUUGGUAACUAUACCAUCCUGCUAACUGUUUGAGGCACAAUAGUUUUGUAAUAUAAUAUAAAGUAAUGGUGUUAGCCAACACAUCUUUAAUAAGAUAUUGUUCGUGCCUUUGCCAUAUGCUACAGAGCAGCCUCUCACUCGGUGGGCCUUUUGAUUCCUCUCAAUAAGAUUAUUUCAAAUACUCUAAUCCUGAAUCAUUGACAUGAAUACAAAAGCCUAGUGACAUCUAAUAGAUGCCUCUUAGCUUUGCUUUUCCUCUUGUUCCUUUCCUUUUUCUUCUCUUUUUACCUGACAAAAAGCUCAUAGACACUUGGGCUCUGUCUCUCAGUAGCAGCAUGGGGGGCUCCUCAUGAAAUAUAAAGGGGGAAAAAGGACUGACAGAGGCCCGAUAAGCUACAGAGUGAAGGGCCAUAGAUUAAAAGUAAAUGCCAGUAAAUCCUACCCUGUACACUCACUUGUUCUUUUAUUGUUUUCUUUAACACUUUCAGAGCCAGGGCAGGGAAAAAACCAGAAAAUAGUAAUCAAGCUGCCCAUGUACAUUUUUAAUCUGGACACUGUCACUAUUAUACAUAUUUUAUGGGGCUUUGGCGACAUUCUCAAAUUUUGGUUCAUGUAAAGGUUGUGGUGGGUUUUUUUUUUAAUGUCCUUUUAAUCAAUAUCAAGAAUCCCUCAAGAACUUUUUUGCUCAUUUGCUGCUCAAUUAACUUAAUAUUGAUACCAUGUGUGGGUAGGAAGAGCCCUUCUGUAGGGUGUGAACACUGGGGCUCAGGACAUGACAUCUUCAAGGCUGAAAUAACUUUUUUUCUUUUCUUUUUUAAUUGAUGAAUUGAAAAUUAUCAAAGUAAAAUGAUAGGGUAUUUUGUUUCAUGACAUCAGCUGCUGCUUUUUGAUGUGGUGCUGCUCCCCGCCAGUGCCGUGAAUUCUCCGCCUUUGCCGGGUGGUGCACGCGACUUAGACUCUGCUGGUGCAUGCCGAGGAGUCAGGAGCCCAGCUGGGUAACUUUUCUAAUGGUCAAAAGGUUGUUCCCUCCUCCACCUUCCUGAAGCAACCAUGAUUUGACUAAAGCUCUUUAUUACUCCACCUGAAUAUCAGACAGUCAUGCUGCUUGCAAUUUAUUUAUUGUUUUCCAGAGGUAAACUACUGAGAUUUUCCCCACCUGUUUUUAAUGUGCUUCUCGUUCAUAAGUAUUCUGAUCUGUUAGUAAUAUCUGAAAAUAUCACUUUUAACACUCUUGGGUGCACUAUUGGCUGAAGCCCCCUCACAGAAUGGAAAGUUAAUUUGAAGAACUAUGGACCUGCAUCAGGUUUAGCUACACACACCACACACAUACGCACAUACACACACGCACAUACUCUACAGAGACCAAAAAAAAAAAAAAAAAAAAAAAAAGAUGAAAAGAGAGCAGUCUCUUUUUCAUUUUUUAAAAAGUUCUUUAGAAAAGAAAGUUGGUUAAGGGUUCACCUGGUUAUCUUUGAAGCUGUUACCAACAGUUGAAAACCCAUGUUUCUCUACACAGUCUUGUUGUUUUCCUAAAGCCAGAUUCUAAUGUUAGAUAUAUGGGAUAUGUCUCAGAAUAUGGUUUUAAACACUGAGUUGUUCUUCCUGUAGCUGUAGAAAUGGGAGUGCCCUGAUCUGGCUCGUGAAGACCAGCAUCUGAAUCCUGGUCUAUGAGCACCUUAAAACAAAGCAAGCAAAACCCCUGAUCACUGUGAGUUUAAUAGUAGCUUACACCUAAAUGGCACUUCCAGCGUUUUAGAGCACGUCGGGGUAUACCAUCUCAGAAAAUUCUCUUUGCACAAAUUGACUCCAUUUGACAGAUCUGUAAACUGAGGCACACAGCCUAAGGAACUAUCCACUUUAUUGGUGACAAAGCAAGUGAUUAGAAACUCCACAUCUCCUAUCUCCCAGACUGAUUUUUUUCCCUUUUCUCAAUUGCUCAGCUAAAAACACUGUUUUCAGUAUUUCAUAAUGUCUCUUUUAUUUCAUUUUUCUUGCUAUCCACAGCACAUUUUCAUGUAUUACUCUAAACCUAUUUACCAAGCCAGCUUUCUUAGUUGAUGUCACAAUUAACUUUCAGGAUUUUAUAUGUAUAUAUACACACACAUAUAUAUAAACACAUAUAUAUACACACACAUAUAUGCAUAUAUACAUAUGUGACACUGUUUAUUGUACUCAUUGCUGGAGCAAUGUUUGAGUUCUUAUGUCCUCAUUUAAUUUGAUUGUGUAUUUGCUUGAAAAAAACAUCAGUAAUCCAUACAGAAAUCUGGGAGAAGGCACAGUAUGAUGGCAAAGGCAUAGAUUUUGGAGUGCAUUGGCUAAGGGAUCCAGUUCCUCCACAGCUACUUAUUAGUAGCUGAGCCUCAGGGGGCUCAGUUUUCUCAUCUUCAAAAUGGGAAAAGUCACUUCUAUUUUGAAGCGUUGUGAGGAUUGAAACACCUAGCACUGGGCUUGGCACAUAACAGGUGCUUAAAAUCAGGUAGCUCUUGCAAUUUGAGCAUCGUAUAUUCCAUGUGGAUUUUCAUUCUUAAUGUGAUCAUUGCCAUGGGACUUCCUUUGAGCACAAUUACCUUACUGAAGUUAAUCAUGGUAGCUAAGUCUCCUUAGAUAAAGACUCAUUCAUUGUUUUGUUUCCACAAAUAUUUAUUAAGCCUCUAUUAUAUGUCAUGCACUGUUUUCAGGGUUGGGGGUAUAACAGUGAAAAAGACAAACAUAGUUCCUGGCUUCAUGCAGCUUUCUCAGUGUCUCAGGGUUGAUCUCUGCCCCCAGUCCCCCAAAAAUAGUUGGAAUAGUAAUAGCAAGUAUAAACAAAGAAUAUAUUGAUAUAUAUGUUUUAAAAAUAGAAGAAUGCCAUUUUACACUGGGAUCAUGAUGCAGAAGAAAAAUAUCCCCGGGUUAAAGUCACCUUUUAGCUCAUACCCAGAGGUAUCGAACUUGGGCAAAUUCCACGGCUUUAUUGCACUCUUCUGAGGCAGUCUACAUGUUGGUUAAGACUGAAGGAAGAGAUCUCUAAGACCCUUUCCAACUAUGGAAUUCUAAUUUUAGCUGUUUGUGGUAUUGCUGAGCACAGGCAGGUAGAUGAGCGCUUUGGAGGGUAGGUUGUAAGCCUAAGAGGGCAGUGACUACGUUGAGCACAGUGCCUCCCUCCUGUGUACUAGAUGCUUAGGGCUUGUUUUUGUGAAAAGAAGGAAUGACAGGAACUAGAAAUGCAGUUGUUGAAUCUGGUGGUCUCAUCUCUCUGUCUAAAGACAAGCUUGUUAUAACUACACAAUAAAGUGAAAUGGCACUGCCAUUAAAGAAUGAUGAGGAACAGAAAAUGUAAGAUAAAAUAUUAAAUUUGUUACACUUAAAAAUGUUAAUCUUCACACGAUUACCAUGCAAAUCUCCUCAUUGCCUAACUGUUUAAUUGAUCAAGUAAAUCACAGAGCAGACAAGUGAAAAUCUCUGCUGUUGACAUUCUCACAAAGCAUAUUUUCAAGAAUAUAUUCUAUUAACUAUGUGUAUUACACAUGAUAAUGGGAAUUUCUUAUUUUGUAAAAACAUAUAUAUGUGGCAUCCUUUGCAAACCACCAGAUUUCAGAGAGUUUGGGAGAAGGCUUGAUUUUUGCAGGGCAAAAAUUCAGCCAUCCUCUAUUAUGUCAAACGCGAAAUCAGUGUUAGAAAGACCCCUGUGCAAGCAGCGCCUUUGUUUUAUAUACUAUUAGAAGACUUCAGAAUUCACCAGUUUUUCUUUCAGGCAGGACACAAAAUCCAAUCAGGCGCCUGGCCUGCUAGUCUCUCUGACCUGCGAGCUGGGAAGAGGGAGGAGAAGCAGAGGCCCUCACAUUUGAUAGGCUGCAUCUUUGUGGCUUUAGGGGGCUCCUGUGUCUACUCGAGGAAGGAAGUUCUCCCUUAUUUUAAGAUAAGGUGUCAUUCAUGAGAGCAAUGUGCUGAACUAAUCAGGUUAAUUGAGAGGCCGUGAGUCGUCCUCAUUGAGCCCAUCUCUUCUUCCUGUUAAAGGCAGAUAGCGCAGACAGACAGAUU
rnacentral:lncRNA from 1 species